UAUAAGAAAGUUCAAUGCUCUGGAAAAGACCGAAUUGUCCCUUUGCUUUUUUAAUGAGCCACGUGGCUGUCUUAUUUGCUUCCCUUUACUUACUUCCUUUUCAUUUCCUUUACUACUUCCUGCUACAUGUGACAAGCUUUCAAUUUUUCUUUCUCUCUCUCUUCUCUUUCAAUUUGUCUGUCUUCUUCCUCUCCCUCAACCUUCCCCUCUUUGUCUCUUUCUUCUUCUUUCUCUCUCCGAGUCUUCUUUCUCUCUCAGAGCGACAUCUUCUACUUUCUGCUUUCUUCCUCUUCAUUUCCCUUUUUCUUCAUCAUCUUCUUCAUUUUCCAAAACGAAACCGACACAGUUAUCAGGUUUUUUUGGAUUUCUGUUUAAAGUUACUGUUUAGAUAUUGUGGUUAGUGUUUUUGUGGUUUAUAUGAUGAUUUUGUGGUUUAUAUGAUGAUUUUGUGGAUAGGUUUUUGUGAUUGUGGUUGAUAUCAUGAUUUUGUGGUUAGGGUUUUUAUGCUAUUAUUGGCCAAAUGGAGGUAUGUUGUUCUUUUCAUCUUUCUAACAAAAAUAUGAAUAAUGUUUUCACCAGUUGCUUUUAACAUUCAGAUUUGUGGUGGCAACAACAGGUUACCGACAAUUAGUAUGGUGGUGGUGGUGGAAACGGGUUUCCGCCAACGAGUGUGGUGGUGGCCGGAAUCAGAAAGAGAUGAAUGGUUGGAGCAACUGUUGCAGAACAAUCCAUUGUACAUACAGAACUUCGUCCAUUGCUCGCUUGAUGUGGUUGAUGACUGAGACAAUAACUCGAGAAAUCAGAGACACUGAAUACGAAACGGUUAAAAGAUACUGAAUACGAAAUGGUUAAAAGACAAAUUGAAGAUAUUAAUGGAACUGUCAUGACAUAAGCAAAAUUUUCUUAAGCAGCUGAUGGUUCUUACACUCGCUGAGGCGUGAAUGUUAUGGAAUCUCAGAAAUCUGGUUCGGGAAAUGUUAGGAGUAAAUUAAUGGUAAAUUCAUGUGUUAAUAUAAGUGAUUUCUUCUCUAAACCAAUGCAAAAAUGUGAUGAAUCCAUAGGUUUUUAUUAAGAAUUGAACUGAAUAAGUUUAGUUCGUGCGUAAAGCAAAUCGAAUCACUUGUGGGUGUUAUUGUUGCAGGUUUUGAGCUGAAUAAGAACUUAAGAAGAACAUGAGGAGGAAAGAAAGCUGGAAGUCUCAAAGGCUGAAGAAAAAGAUGGAAAGUACAAAGGGCGCGCCGCGAGAGUUCCUAGGCGCGCCGCGAAAAUACUUCUGUUUGAGGGGCGCGCCGCGCCAGCCCGUUGCCGCGCCGCGGCCUCGGCGUUAAAAGCCCAAAAGUUCUGUUUUAAAGCCCUAGUUUUCCAAGUGGUAAGGGAUACUUUUGGGGGAGCGAAAUUAGGAGAGCUAUCUGAUUCUGAAGCUGAGAACAACAAUUGAAGGUGGAUUCUUUACCAAUUGAAGACAUUCUAUUGAUGAAGAUGAAUUCCUCCGUUGAUUCUUGUAUGUUCUUCAUGUUUAUGGAGAGCUAAAUCCCUCUUGUUGAGUCUAAGGUAGUAGUUAACCUAUGAAUAUAUAUUACCAUUGAUUAAUUCCUGUGAACAAUUGUUUGAAUUUAUUAUCAAUAAGAAACCUUGCUUUUAAUUUACAUCAUUGUUGAAUCUUUGAUCGAAAGAAAGGAUUUAACUUUUGCCCUAGGUUACUAUAUUGAUUCAAUUGCAAUUUGCAGAGAUGGAAUUGUAAUUGGGUUUUCAUAAUUAUCGUUCUUAAUUACUAUUAUCGUUAUUGUGAU